UCACACUUCUUGUUUCUCUGCACAGCUACGACAGUAAAUUGACUCACUGUACAAGACCUCCCCCCUUCACUCUACUGCAGGGUGGGAGAUGCAACAAUGUCCUUGAGAACAGCAGGAAGUGUGUUGGGGGUCUUUCUCUGGUCUGUAGCAGGUAUGUGGUCUGUAGCAGCUCUCUCUCCAGAGUGUCCAUCCUGACCCUAACUGUGACACACACACCACUGAAAAUGAGGACCAGACACUCUGGCAGUAGUGUGAAAAUCCCCCACAGUGACACGUUCACAUCUCUUCAGAGAGACUCUCAGCACUCCGUAUAUCAGACCAUCCAGGGGAGAAAACCACCACAGAACCUGGACUGAUAGAACCACCACAGAACCUGGAGGGAAGAGAACCACCACUGAACCUGGAGGGAAGAGAACCACCACUGAACCUGGAGGAAGGAGAACUACCACAGAACCUGGACUGAAGAGAACCAUCACAGAACCUGGAUGGAAGAGAACCACCACAGAACCUGCAGAGAAGAGAACCACCACAGAACCUGGAGAGAAGAGAACCACCACAGAACCUGGAGAGAAGAGAACCACCACAGAACCUGGAGGGAAGAGAACCACCACAGAACCUGGAGAGAAGAGAACCACCACAGAACCUGGAUUAAAGAGCUAUGGCACCAAACCAAAGCUAGUCCUUACACUCUAUUCUCUUGCUAAUAUAUUGUUAUAAUAUAAUGAAGGUUCACCCAAGUUACAAAAUGACACAUUGGUUUCCCUUCCCUUUUAGCAGUCUAUGAACAUGGUGACAUCAGUCCCUGCUUUGGUUUAGUUUCCCCUGACACUGUUUCCACCUGCUAACGUUUUAGCAUUCGUGGCACAAAUCCCAUUCGUCAUGUGACUGAUAAGAGGCAUUUCUCGCACAUCAUUUCGAAAUCAAUCAAAAGUUUAAAAAAAUGUGUUGUGAAGGUCAACAAAGUCACUUCUAGAUGAUUUGAACAUGAUGAGAGAAAUCUUAAUAUCAGUCCCGUGACUUGAAUGGGAUUUUUCUAAAUGUGGGAGUGUUUGACAUAGUAGCUGACUUUAUAGGCAAGUCGAGAUCUACAAAUCACCUUGCAUGAUGAAUAACUACUCAAUAUUAUUUAUAGAUCAUUCAGUCAGUCACAAUUUACCCAUAAUACAUCAGUUUUGAUGUUCUCGAACACUGUCUGAGUGACUGCUGAAGGAAGCCUUCUCUGCAUAAGCUUCUUGGUCCCUGACAUAGAGUUGGAUAGAAGGUACAUCUUGACAUCUUUGUCAUGAUGUCUUCUGUGACAGAAUGAGCAGCACCAUUGAGGGCUAUUUCCAUAUUAAAGUAGUUAAUAUCUUCAACUUCCAUAAGUUUAAUAACAGUCGGUAUACCAACUGAAAUGGUGUAUUCAAUGGCUUUAGUCAUGCUAAAAUGGGCUUUGAAGCAAGUACGCCCUCUAUUCAACUCUAUUGUCCCUGACUGCUUCAAUGUUGUGUCAACCAGACUUCAAACCUCACACUCAGUGUCUAUUUACAUAGACUUCCAGUAAGUUAACUUGCAACACAUCUCCCCUUCACUCUGUUUUCACUCACUACCAGACAGUUGACUCACUGUACAAGACCUCUCCUCUUCACUUCACUCUACUGCAGGGUGGGAGAUGCAACAAUGGCCUUGAGAACAGCAGGAAGUGUGUUGGUGGUCUUUCUCUGGUCUGUGACAG